rnacentral:rRNA from 1 species
UACGUAGGGUGCAAGCGUUGUCCGGAAUUAUUGGGCGUAAAGAGCUUGUAGGCGGUUUGUCGCGUCUGCUGUGAAAUUUCGGGGCUCAACCCCGAACUUGCAGUGGGUACGGGCAGACUAGAGUGUGGUAGGGGAGACUGGAAUUCCUGGUGUAGCGGUGAAAUGCGCAGAUAUCAGGAGGAACACCGGUGGCGAAGGCGGCUUUCUGGACAGUAACUGACGCUGAGACGCGAAAGCGUGGGGAGCGAACAGG